GAACCUGACUCUUCAUCUUCUCUUGCUAUGAAUCAUCUAUGUUGUUAAGCUUUUCUCAAAGCUAUGUUUUUUAAUCAACUAACAAGAAUGAGUUCUCAGAUAUGGAGGACUGUGCUUCUUUUAUGUAGAUUCGAAAUCUAGUCUCGUGAAGGGAGUUUGAAAGAUUAGGUUCAAGUGUCUCCAUCCAAUUUAUAUCCUCCUCUUUUGCCGAUUUUUUUUGCCGACUGAC